UACAGAGGUCUCAAGCGUUGUUCGGAUUCAUUGGGCGUAAAGGGUGCGUAGGCGGCGCGGUAAGUCGGGUGUGAAAUCUUGGAGCUUAACUCCGAAACUGCAUUCGAUACUGCCGUGCUUGAGGACUGGAGAGGAGACUGGAAUUUACGGUGUAGCGGUGAAAUGCGUAGAUAUCGUAAGGAAGACCAGUGGCGAAGGCGGGUCUCUGGACAGUUCCUGACGCUGAGGCACGAAGGUCAGGGGGGCAAACGGG
rnacentral:rRNA from 1 species